CACCUUUUGUAACCCCAUAAAAGGCCCAGCCUGCCCAGUGACUUUGUUCAACGGCCGCGGUAUCCUAACCGUGCUAAGGUAGCGUAAUCACUUGUUUUCUAAAUAAAGACUAGUAUGAAAGGCACCACGAGGAUUAAACUGUCUCCUCUCUCUAAUCAGUGAAUCUAAUCUCUCCGUGCAGAAACGGGGAUAACUUUAUAAGACGAGAAGACCCUAUGGAGCUUUAAACAUUAUCACAAUGCCCCCUCCAAUCACCACACCACUAAGGUUUUCCCGCCUCGAGCACACUGAUUUUAUGUUUUAGGUUGGGGUGACCACGGAGAACAAAUUAUCCUCCAUAAUGAAAAGAAAUUUCUUCUUAAACAACAAGCCACAGCUUUAAUAAUCAAAAAUUUGACAUACAUUGACCCAAUAUUUUGACCAACGAACCAAGUUACCCUAGGGAUAACAGCGCAAUCCACUUCAAGAGCCCCUAUCGACAAGUGGGCUUACGACCUCGAUGUUGGAUCAGGGUAUCCUAGUGGUGCAGCCGCUACUAAAGGUUCGUUUGUUCAACGAUUAAAACCCU
rnacentral:rRNA from 1 species